rnacentral:lncRNA from 10 species
AACAGAAUGGCAAUUUUCGUGUGGUGUUAAUUUCCGUGGAAGAAGAAAAGGCUCGACUCUCUGUCCUAUUUUUCAUGAAUACUGGAAGUAGGGAAUAAACCUGGAGUCUCACGGGUGAAAAGAGACAUUUCCAUAUCACCAGACCACAAACGUGGAUGGAGUUUCACUCUUAUGGCCCAGGCUGGAGUGCAAUGGCGUGAUCUCAGCUCACCACAACCUCUGCCUCCCGGGUUCAAGUGGUUCUCCUACCUCAGCCUCCUGAGUAGCUGCGAUUACAGAUACAUAGCUCUGGCCAAGAAGUGUGGUUUUGAAGAGCCCAAACUGUAUCUGUUACCUGAUUUCAAAGAAUAUUCCACCUAGGAGAGACCCAGGUCCUGCAGACUUCCUCUGGACACUUUUGGCAGUCAUUGUUCCCAGCUGAUUCUGCAACAGAUGAAGGACGGAGGAUAGAAUCAUGAAUAGCAACAUCUUAAUUGCUGACUGGGUGUUGAUUCUAAGGAUACCCCCAAUAAACAUCUUUCGUGCUAAAGCCCAUUCCAGAAUUUACUUCCCAGCUAUCUUUGAUGUUCAUAUUGUCAGAGGUGGUGGCCGCUGAAACAGGCAAAGACAUGGAGCAUAUCUUGGGUCCAGGACCUUGGGAGUCCAGAGGAAGGUCUUUUUACCAUCAGCAUUCUCUACUGUGUUCAAUGACUGUCAGCCAAAGAUGGCCAGCUUUCCUUCAGAAAGAAAUGCAUUCAAAGAACCUACAUUCACAACAUAAAGAAAUAAAGCCUGCACCUACAGAUCUACACACAUGCCCAUGCACAUGCAGGAAGUGUUCAUCUAAGACUGGACCUUUUAGAAGAAAGCUGGCAUACAUUCGUGAAGGCAUGGGCUUCCAGGCAUGUCAUCUUCACUCACGAAGCACACACAAGACCGCCAAGCAUUAAGAUUCUCCUGUGGAGCCAGGCUACAAUCCUUUAAAUGAAGACAGACAGCUAGGUGGCUGCAGCCCAGCGCUACACCUCACCCCUCCCUCAGUGUCAUGCAGAAAAAAUGUAUUCAGAACUCAGAAGUGAAGUUGUGCAAAUCCAUCAUUGACACUAGCUUCAAGGUUACCUCGGGGGAGCAGAAUGUACCCCUGCCAGAGAGCUGGAUAGAUGAUGAUGGGGACAGAAAUUCUGGGGGAGUUGUAAAUGGCAGCCACUGCCUCUAUAGGAAACCCAAAGGGAACACAGCAGAAGAGGAGGUGGUGGAGGAGCCACUGCCCUCUCGAAGGGUUCAAUGUCAUUCUGCAGACACAACCAAAUAACUUUUUCUUCCCUGCUGCUCCUCCAUUUGAAAUGACAGCCCCGAGCUCGCUUUUUCCUUGAUUGUGUAACUCUGAUUACAGACAAGGCCAAGGCAAUCCCAGGGCAUUACUACAAAGCUAAGGGGUCCCCAAAGAACUAAAGAGUCAGCUCCACAAAAAUCCCGAUUCCUAGCAUGAAACUGAAAUAUGAAACCAAACGGGCAUAGAAAAGGUAUGUGCAUUCGAAUCACAUAGCAGUGACUGGAGUCCUGAGCUGUGUCUGAAGACUGUGAGAUCACGUUUGGAGCUGCUGAUUGGUUUUCAGUGAUGGCCCUGUUGCACAGUGCCGUGAGACUUAGCUCCAUGGCCAAAGACGAUGGUAUCCCCUAGGAGCCCUGUGAGGUUGCUGCUGUUCUCUUAAGACACCAGGUAGCCAUCUGAUCCUCCCUGAGCAAACUAACUGGGCAGACAGGUUUAUUAAACCUCUGUUGGUCCGACUUACAUGAAACAAGAGAGUUAUUUUGUUGUUGUUGUUUUGUUUUGUUUUAAAUUAAACCUGUCUUUGGAGCCUCCUGCUCUUAGUUUACAAGUCUUCUUUGCACACUCUAAUAUUUUAAGAAGCAGCAAACAUUAACUGAGGGUCUA